AGUUUAUAGUGAUGAUGCUUACAAAUUCUAUAAGUAGACUUAAUGCAGUGAUGGUUGCAAAUUCUAUAAAUAUAUUUAAUGUGGUGAUGGUGGCAAAUUCUAUGAAAAACCCAAAUUGUACAAUUUCAAUGAGUGAAAGCAUGCUAUGUGAAUGUCUUCAUAAAGGUUUUAUUUAAAAAAUGAGCAAACGGUAGAAUGUUAACAUGGCCCACGUCUAUGUGGUGUCUAUAUUGGUUUCUAUUAUAUGUUUUCUAUGUGGUUGAAACAUUCCUAAUAAAAUGUGCAUAGUUUUUUAAAAAAGAAAACACAUCAGUGGACGUGAAUGCAGGAUGUCUUAUGAAUGCUCACACAGAAGCUCUCAUUCCUGAGGAAUGCAGGGAAAAGCAGAAGAUGGAGUAGGAGUUGGCAUGGCCCAGCUAGCUCAGAUGACACACGAUGGUCCCAGUGGCAUGACUUGUUUAUGCAAAUACCGUAUACGUGAUAAACGUCCCUACAACAUGAUCUUUGGAAUGAACUAAGACAAAGGAAACUCUGAGGAAGGACCAUGGCCUGAGAGGUGGAAUUCAUCCUUCCGAGGACUGAGAUGAGGACGGAAAAUGAACCAUCGGGGGGAUUGACGGUGAAGAUGCUAAUACCUGCCCAGCAUCGACCCUAGUGCGGGUCCCAAGACCAUCCCCCUGUGCAGGCUCCACCACCGCUGUGCUAACUGGACCGCGGCAGAACAGUGUGGGUGUGUGCCAGGUUCCUGCUGGGCCCUGCAGCUCCUCCCCCCAGCCCCAUGUGAUGUGCCCCUGGCCAUUGACACUCAGUUCGAGGGAAGGCACUGGGGUGUACACUCAAAGACCUAAACCCAGGGUGGGUGCGGUGG